AAAAUCCGUCGACUUAAAAUGGUUCAAGUCCCUCUAUCCCCA
rnacentral:tRNA from 1 species